rnacentral:rRNA from 1 species
UACGUAGGUGGCAAGCGUUGUCCGGAUUUACUGGGUGUAAAGGGGCGUAGGCGGACUUUUAAGUGAGAUGUGAAAUACCCGGGCUCAACUUGGGUGCUGCAUUUCAAACUGGAAGUCUAGAGUGCAGGAGAGGAGAAUGGAAUUCCUAGUGUAGCGGUGAAAUGCGUAGAGAUUAGGAAGAACACCAGUGGCGAAGGCGAUUCUCUGGACUGUAACUGACGCUGAGGCUCGAAAGCGUGGGGAGCAAACAGGAUUAGAUACCCCCGGUAGU